CACGUAGUUAGCCGGUGCUUAUUCUUACGGUACCGUCAUGACCUCUCUUUAUUAGAAAGAGGCUUUUCGUUCCGUACAAAAGCAGUUUACAACCCGAGGGCCUUCAUCCUGCACGCGGAAUGGCUGGAUCAGGCUUGCGCCCAUUGUCCAAAAUUCCCCACUGCUGCCUCCCGUAGGAGUCUGGGCCGUGUCUCAGUCCCAGUGUGGCUGGUCGUCCUCUCAGACCAGCUACAGAUCGCAGGCUUGGUGAGCCUUUACCCCACCAACUACCUAAUCUGCCAUCGGCCGCUCCAAUCGCGCGAGGCCUUACGGUCCCCCGCUUUCAUCCAUAGAUCGUAUGCGGUAUUAGCGUAGCUUUCGCUACGUUAUCCCCCACGACUGGGCACGUUCCGAUGUAUUACUCACCCGUUCGCCACUCGCCACCAGGGUUGCCCCGUGCUGCCGUUCGACUUGCAUGUGUAAAGCAUUCCGCCAGCGUUCAAUCUGAGCCAGGAUCAAACUCU
rnacentral:rRNA from 1 species